GGCAGCAGCCGCGGGAACACCGGCAGCUCUAGUGGUAGCAAUUUUAUUGGGCCUAAAGCGUCCGUAGCCGGUUUAAUAAGUCUCUGGUGAAAUCCUGUAGCUUAACUGUGGGAAUUGCUGGAGAUACUAUUAGACUUGAGACCGGGAGAGGUUAGAGGUACUCCCAGGGUAGAGGUGAAAUUCUGUAAUCCUGGGAGGACCGCCUGUUGCGAAGGCGUCUAACUGGAACGGUUCUGACGGUGAGGGACGAAAGUUAGGGGCGCGAACCGGAUUAGAUACCCGGGUAGUCCUAACUGUAAACGAUGCGGACUUGGUGUCGGGGUGGCUUUGAGCUGCUCCAGUGCCGAAGGGAAGCUGUUAAGUCCGCCGCCUGGGAAGUACGGUCGCAAGACUGAAACUUAAGGAAUUGGCGGGGGAGCACCACAACGCGUGGAGCCUGCGGUUUAAUUGGAUUCAACGCCGGACAUCUCACCAGAGGCGACAGCUGUAUGAUAGCCAGGUUGAUGACUUUGCUUGACUAGCUGAGUGGAGGUGCAUGG
rnacentral:rRNA from 1 species